AACGCUGGCGGCGUGCCUAACACAUGCAAGUCGAACGGAGCUUGUUUGAAUUGAGACUUCGGUCAAUUUUCAAUUAAGUUUAGUGGCGGACGGGUGAGUAACGCGUGAGUAACCUGCCGUUCAGAGGGGGACAACAGUUGGAAACGACUGCUAAUACCGCAUAACGUACAGUUUUGGCAUCAUUACUGUACCAAAGGAGCCUUUAAAGCUUCACUUUGGGAUGAGCCUGCGGCGUAUUAGCUAGUUGGUAAGGUAAUGGCUUACCAAGGCGACGAUGCGUAGCCGGUCUGAGAGGAUGAACGGCCACAUUGGGACUGAGAUACGGCCCAGACUCCUACGGGAGGCAGCAGUGGGGAAUAUUGGGCAAUGGGGGAAACCCUGACCCAGCAACGCCGCGUGAAGGAAGAAGGCCUUCGGGUUGUAAACUUCUUUUAGCAGGGACGAAUACGUGACGGUACCUGCAGAAAAAGCAACGGCUAACUACGUG
rnacentral:rRNA from 1 species